rnacentral:misc_RNA from 1 species
AACCAUAGAAACCUGCGGAGUACCUGCGGAAGGAUCAUUACCGAGUGAGGGCCCUCCGGGUCCAACCUCCCACCCGUGUUUAACGAACCUUGUUGCUUCGGCGGGCCCGCCUCACGGCCGCCGGGGGGCACCCCGCCCCCGGGCCCGCGCCCGCCGAAGACACCUGUGAACGCUGUCUGAAGUUGCAGUCUGAGACACUAGCUCAAUCAGUUAAAACUUUCAACAACGGAUCUCAGAUCG